rnacentral:rRNA from 1 species
UACCGAGGUCUCAAGCGUUGUUCGGAUUCAUUGGGCGUAAAGGGUGCGUAGGCGGCGCGGUAAGUCGGGUGUGAAAUCUCGGAGCUUAACUCCGAAACUGCAUUCGAUACUGCCGUGCUUGAGGACUGGAGAGGAGACUGGAAUUUACGGUGUAGCGGUGAAAUGCGUAGAUAUCGUAAGGAAGACCAGUGGCGAAGGCGGGUCUCUGGACAGUCCCUGACGCUGAGGCACGAAGGCCAGGGGAGCAAACGGG